ACACCUCAACUCUCAUGGUCCGCCAUGAUGAGCUUGGACUUUGGGGGUCUUGCCGGCCUAGCGUCGGCUCCUCUCAAAUGGAUCAGCUUGCCAGUGUUUGGUGGCAUCACGGGUGUGAUAACUAUCUACGCUUGUGGUUCUCCACCAUGCAACCUUCAGCGAUGGAGGUUCGCUGGAGCUCACAGAUGUCUCUCCUCGGUGAGGACGGCUUUUGAAC
rnacentral:misc_RNA from 1 species